rnacentral:sRNA from 1 species
UCGCUGUAGCAUUGCGCGAGUACCGCGCCG